AAGGAUCAUUACAGUGAACGUAAGCGGGAGGCGUCGCUGGCCUUUGGCCGCGCGCCUUUCUCUUUGCAAUCCACUUACACCUGUGCACCCGUCGGCGAGCGCCUCCUUUGGCCCUCCGCCGCCCUUUCACACCGGCCCCUUUGAAUUGUAAACGCAUGUCGAGCCCCACGGGGNGUUUGAGUUAAAAGUACAACUUUCAACAACGGAUCUCUUGGCUUUCGCAUCGAUGAAGAACGCCGCGAAAGCGCGAAACGUAAUGUGAAUUGCAGAAUUCAGUGAAUCAUCGAAUCUUUGAACGCAUCUUGCGCUCCUUGGUAUUCCGAGGAGCAUGCCUGUUUGAGUGUCGUGUAAAACCUCAAAGCCCCUCCGUUAAGGGAGGCUUUGGAUUUGGANGCCUGCGGCUUCGGGACCCUUUGAGGUCGCGGCCGCUCGUCUUGAAAUGCAUUAGCUUGGUCCCCUCGGACGACGACGGUGUGAUAAUGAAACGCUUUGUGGCGCCGUUUGAAUCGAGUUGGGGCUUGGCCGACAGCCGUCUUUGGACAAACGUUUGAACGUAUGACCUCAGAUCAGGUAGGACUACCCGCUGAACUUAA
rnacentral:rRNA from 1 species